rnacentral:lncRNA from 1 species
CAGAUGCUAGGAAGACGUGUGAAGGGAAACAGUUAACAUUUCUACACUGCAACUUUUUCACUUGAGACUCACAGCAUUCCUAUGAGAAAGAUCUGCAGACGAAGGUCCAAAGGAAGAAGAUUUUGUUGAAGACUGAAAAGAGAAAUAUACUUGGUGGACAGAGAUAACUCCUUUCAGCACAGAGGUCAGAUGACAAGGCUGCAGCAUGAAGAAGAUGCCAUAUUGUGGAAUUGGGUGUCAAGGAGAAGACAUUCGAAGGUGCAUGAACAGAGUGAAGGUGGUGCAAGCAAGUGCAGAGGAGGUGGGGAGACUGGAGUGCUGGGAAAAGGGUCAGCAGAAGCUAGCAAACAUGAAAGACACAACACAAAACAAGCAGUUGUGCAAAUUAGGAUGAUAAGGGGGGAGUGGUCAAAGGUGUG